UACGAAGGGAGCUAGCGUUGUUCGGAAUCACUGGGCGUAAAGCGCACGGAGGCGGAUGUGUCAGUCAGGGGUGAAAUCCCGGGGCUCAACCUCGGAACUGCCUCUGAUACAGCACGUCUCGAGUCCGGAAGAGGUGGGUGGAAUUCCUAGUGUAGAGGUGAAAUUCGUAGAUAUUAGGAAGAACACCGGUGGCGAAGGCGGCCCACUGGUCCGGUACUGACGCUGAGGUGCCAAAGCGUCGGGAGCAAACAGC
rnacentral:rRNA from 1 species